UGGGGCAUGGCCGAGUGGUUAAGGCGGAUGUUUUAAGCUCAUCUGGGAAACCGUCGCGGGUUCGAACCCCGCUGUCCCAA
rfam:Thecamonas trahens ATCC 50062 unplaced genomic scaffold supercont1.53, whole genome shotgun sequence.